UCCUCUGCUAGGCCGGGCGGCUUAUCCUCGCCUGUUACCCAAAAUGGAUAUUGUGGGGGCCGAAGCCUGGGGGGCGGUUUGCUCCUUAAGUAUUAGUCCUGUUCGGACCGUCGAUGCUUUGUCCUCAUUGGCUCUUAUCUUUGUGAACCGGGUCAGGCUGGGAACAGAGCAGCCCUAAGCUUAGGCAAGGGUGCUUUGAGGGUUGCGGAGCGGAGGAAAGAAUGGGGUAAGCUAAUGCUUAUUCAGCUUAUCCACCUCCAGGCGCGCAUUUAA
rnacentral:SRP_RNA from 1 species